GUGCACGCUGGCGGUAGGCCUAACACAUGCAAGUCGAACGGCAGCACAGUAAGAGCUUGCUCUUACGGGUGGCGAGUGGCGGACGGGUGAGGAAUACAUCGGAAUCUACUUUUUCGUGGGGGAUAACGUAGGGAAACUUACGCUAAUACCGCAUACGACCUACGGGUGAAAGCAGGGGAUCUUCGGACCUUGCGCGAUUGAAUGAGCCGAUGUCGGAUUAGCUAGUUGGCGGGGUAGAGGCCCACCAAGGCGACGAUCCGUAGCUGGUCUGAGAGGAUGAUCAGCCACACUGGAACUGAGACACGGUCCAGACUCCUACGGGAGGCAGCAGUGGGGAAUAUUGGACAAUGGGCGCAAGCCUGAUCCAGCCAUACCGCGUGGGUGAAGAAGGCCUUCGGGUUGUAAAGCCCUUUUGUUGGGAAAGAAAAGCAGCAGGUUAAUACCCCGCUGUUCUGACGGUACCCAAAGAAUAAGCACCGGCUAACUUCGU
rnacentral:rRNA from 1 species